CAGGUGUGCUAGGCUACGCCACAGUUUUUACGACAGCGGUUACACCAAUCGACAUUUCACUUGCUUUGUGUCCUUAACAACAGUGCACUAAUAGCAACAGAUGCUGGAGAGGUUCAUAAGGAACAUUCUCUUACCAAUAUACCUUUCUCCCUGAAGCAUUGGAGGAAGGGACACGGAAUAGAAAGAACGACACGUCCCAGAGAUCACACCUGAGUCCAACUGCAACAACCCAUGCAGUUGUACAGUUUUCCUUUAUUUAAUCAAAUGUUCCCUCUGUGCCAAGAAUGAUUCCAGACUCUGUAAUAUAAAAAGAAGUUAAGCAUGGUCUUUUUUAUGAAGUUGCUUACCAUCGUUUGAGGAAAGGUGGGCAAGCAAACCGUUAACUGCAGUGAUUAGAGUAAAGUGUGAUGAUGCUCAGGAGCACAUACGCAUAAAAGACCAUCUCUGUUGGAGGCAUCAUGUGGGGAAAGACAUGCUUUCCAGGGCUCACGGGCCUUGCACAGGCAAGGUGGGGCUCAGUCUGUGCAUGGAGAAGACGCAAGGGCUGAGCACAGGAGAGCAGAACAUGAGGAUCACACGAAGUACGGAGAAAAGCCCCCACAAGAUUUUUCAUGCAAAAGAGGCUUUUUUCUGUAAUUCCAGUGGCUAUCAAAUGCUUCCUUUUUUUUCAAGAGACGUUAAAAUAAGAACUUCUUAUAUGAGUAGCCACCUGGGUGAAGACCUCAAUUGACUGAAAUGGUAAAAUGGGGUGGAAAAAAAUUUACCUGUUUUUUUUUUUUCCCCUCCCUGACGUUGAUUCAUGAUCCAAUGAGGAAUAAACUAUAU